AACUGACAGAGCCACCCAGGAGCCCCUACCCUGUGUGUGUUUUAAAAUUUUAUUUUGAGAUAGACUGACAUGCAAUAAGAAAUAGUACAGAGAGAUGGCUCACACGCUUCAUCUAGUUCCCCCUAGCGCUCACCUGUGUGUGACCAUAGUGCAUCACAGCCAAGAUACGGACACUGCGGCCAUCAAACCCGCCUGACUCAGACUUCACCAGUUUUAUAUGCACUCAUGUGUGUGUGUGUUUAGUUCUAUGCAGUGGUUCGUGCGUGGAUUCCUGUGACCACCACCGUGAAGAUACGCAACAGUUCAGGACAAGGAUCUGAUCCCUGUGCCACCCUUCUUGGAGCGGCAGGCACCUUCCUUCCCACCACCUCCCUGGCCCUGGCCACCAUUAAUCUGUUCCUCUGUCUUCACAGUUUUGUCACUUCAAGCUUGUUAUAUACAUGAAAUCAUACGGUAUGUCAAACCUUUGAAGACUGCCUUCUUCUCACUUGGCAUCAUCUCGUUGAGGUCCAGACAAGUUACUGUGUGUAUGUCAAGAGCUUGUCCCUUUACUUUGCUGAGUAGUGUUCCACGCUAUCGAUGGACUGUCCCUUGAGAGCUCAACUGAGGUUCAGCCAAAUGAAACUGCUGUUGUUGUAAGUCAGAAUGGUCAAUUACACAUAGCUUAACCUUCUGUCCAUACGUGUGUGUGUACAGUGCUGCUUUGCACGUUGAACACUUCAUGUAAGGAGACCAUACACAUUCUUCGAAAACUUGUUUAUUCAUGUAACUACAUUUUGAGAACCCCCUGUGUUUAUGGAGCUGGUUUGCUCUUUUUUACUGCUCUAUCAAUUCCAGUCUAUGACUAAGCCGCCAUUUGCUUUUCCUCUUUUUCUUCUCUCCACUCACUGAUUUGGUCCACACUCAUUAGCACUGGCUAAGUGCUGGCCCUCUGCCAGGUGCUGGGCCGCAGGAACACAAACACCCCCACCCUGGGGUCUCAGCGAAAUCAUCGACCACCUCUCCCCCAGCGACUCUCACUUUCUCGUGUGGCUGCCUGAACAUGAGCUGUUUCAUGCCUCUGUGCCUUUGCCCCUGCUGUUCCUUCCCCCUUUCCAGCCAGGCAACCUCCUCCUUGCUUUUUAAAGAGCCAACUCAUAUAUCUCCAUGUCUUUGAAAAUUGCUUCAUGGGUCUGUCCCCCACUGAGUAAAGGAGUUAUUGUAUUCUUUUGCUUGCUACGUUCUCAGGACCAGCACAGAGCCCAGCAUACAGUAGGCACUUACUAAUUGUUGGCUGGAUAGUUGCAUGCAGACCAGAGUGGUGGGAGAGGCGCAGGUUAACAGGUAAGAUACAAGAGGCCUCCAUAUGGGCUGAUGAUGGGAUGGGCUGGAGGCUGAGGGAGGUUCCUAUUUGCAGAUGAAUUCAUGUCCUGCCUUUACCCCACACACGUGCAUAUACUCCUUGCCCAAAAUUACGUGCAGUGUCUCAGGUGGAGGUGGUGUUGGGAAUGGUAAAAGCCACCGCGGAUAAACCCAAACCCUAGCAAGAUUUAGAAGAGGAAUAGCUACCUACGAACAUGCCCGGGCCACCUCCGCCCCUCCUCCCCUGCAUUAGUGGCUUUUCAUGGGGCACAACCAGCCUUGUCCAGCAGCUCUGCCUCCUCACCCUCAGCCCCCGUCAUGCUGCUCAGAAGGACUUCCCAGACAGGCAGAAGCUGGGGUCUGGGGGAUGCUGGCAUGGACCAGCUGUGCAGGGGACACGACAGUGACUGGACGUAGCCCUGGCUUACUCCCCCUUCCACAGGUAGGGCGCGGGCCCAGGGAGACGACCCGUCCCUGUGGGGUCACUGGCCUUGAUAAUUCAGGAAGGACAGAGGCUUAAGCCCGUGUCCUCAGUUUCUCCGUCUAUAAAAUGGAGACACUAGAGAGAUGACUUCCAGCUGAGAGAAAAAACGACCCUUCUCAACCUUCUGCUUCAAGUGGAUCGUGCUGAGGGAUGGUGCCUCAGUGGCAGUUGAGGGCCCUGGGAGGAACAAGGCUCAGGACACCGUCCCUGCUCCCAUGCCAUGCAGAAUGAUGUCUCCAGCACCAGGGGCCUUAGAAGGCUCCCCACUCCUGAUCUCUUUGGUGGGACUGGAUUUGGAAGCAAAGGAAACUUUGGUACAGCUUCCCAUUUCUGAUGUUUGUGAAAAUAAUUUGAAGCACUUCCCUUUGUCUCUACAGGAUGGCGUUACGUUGUGCUUUUAAAAAUAAUAUAUUUAUUUUAAUUUUUUUUAAAGAUUUAUUUGAAAGAGAGAGAAUAUGCAUGUGGGAGAGGGGCAGAGAGAGAGGGAGAAUCCCACGCAGACUUCCCACUGAGCACAUGGAGCACGGUAGGGUCGUGGGGGUCGACCCCAAGAUCAUGACCUGAGCCGAAAUCAAGAGUCAGAUGCUCAACGGAGCCACCCAGGAGCCCUUCUUUACUUACUUCUAAUUUUUUCAACAUUUUUAUAAUCAACCUUCUGGUGAUUUCCAGAAUUUUAGAACUGGAACUGUCUUUUCCACAACAGUUUUUCUGCCCUCUCCACUAAUGAAAGAAAAUGACAACACGGAGGACUUAAAUAAAAAUGCCUAAUUACUUAUUAGACCAAGAGAGCUGAGCAUUUACGCCUUCAAAAUACCCAGCAUUUUAUUACCCUCUGUGAAAUAUUUUAAUUUUCCUCUAAAAGGAUUUCAAACAAUCCAUGGUUGCAAAUGGCAGAGCUGCCUCCUACGUAAUUCAGUUUGUUUCCAUGAACUUGAGCUCCGAGAUCGCCUACGUGUAUUACUAAGAAGCAGGGGCCCUCCCCUUCUCUCUUUUGAUUUUUUUUUUUUUUUUUUUUUUUUUUUAGAUCUUGACAAACCCAGAGGUUUUGCUAUUGCUGUAGACUUUCCAAGAGCCUUUUUAUCUCUAGGGCUCCGAUUCUGUAAGGGAGUUAAGGCGUUGGUAUUGUUUCAAUUUUAACAGACAGGAAGCAGGCCCGGGAGGGAAUUGACCUGCUCAUGGUCACGACCUGCAGAGGGGCAGGCCUGGGGCUGUCCCCAAGCCCCCUCCUGCCACCCACCCCCCCGGCUCCCAGUGCAGAGCUUCAUCCAGCACAUUUCCCUGUGUGGUACUGAGCUCUUUGGGAAUGCUGGAUGCAGCCACCAGGCAUAAUUUUGAGACGACAAUUCAUGUUCCUGUUUGGGGUGCUGGGGGGCAAACAGAGCCAAGAGGAAGGAAUGAUGACUAGAAGAGCUACAAGUUAUAAAUAACAUCUGCAAAAAUGAGAUGAAAAAAAGUACAGCUGGGGUGCCUGGGUGGCUCAGUUGGGUAAGCAUCCAACUCUGAUCUCAGCUCAGAUCUUGCUCUGAGGGUCAUGAGUUCAAGCCCCACACUGGGCUCCACGCUGGGUGGGCAGCCUACUUAAAAAAAAAAAAAGUGCAACUAGCCUGUACCACCUCACACUCCUUAGGAUGGCUACUAUAAAAAACAAAGCAGGAAACAAGUGUUGGUGAGGGUGUGAAGAAAUCGCAACCGGGUGUGCUGUUGGUUGGGCAGGUGACAUGGCGCAGCCGCUGUGGAAAACAGGACGGUGGUUCCUCAACAGAUUAAACAUGGAAUUACCAUAUCAUCCAGCAUUCCACCUCUGGGUAUAUACCCAAAAGAAUUGGAAGCAGGAACUGAAAAAGAUAUUUGUAUAUCCAUGUUCAUGGCAGCAUUGCUCACAAAAGCCAAGAGGUGGGGCAAUCCACGUGUCCAUCAACAAAUGAAUGGAUAAAUAAAGUGUGGUCUCUACAUACAAGGGAGUAUUAUCCAGCCUUAAAGCGGAAGGAAAUUCUAACAUGUGUGACAACAUGGAUAACCUCUGAGGACAUUAUAAGUGAAAUAAGCCAGUCACAAAAGGACAGACACUGUAUAAUCCCACCUGUAUUAUGUACCUAGGGGAGUCAGAUUCAUAGAAACAGGAAGUAGGAUGGGGGGUACCAGGGGCUGGUUGUGGGAGGAAUGGGGAGCUCAUGUUUGAUGGGACGGAGUUUCAGUCUGGAAAGAUGGAAAGUUCUGGGAUGGAUGGUGGGGAUGGUCACACAACAUGAAUGUACUUAACAUCACUUAAAAACCAGUUCAGGUGACUCAUUUGAUGUUACACGUAUUUUACCACUAAAAACCUCCAAAAAGUGCCCCCAAACAACCCAGCGACCGUAGCAUAGUAAACGGUAGCGCCUGUAAUAUGAUGAUGCUUCUAGGAGUGCAUAGAAAACAACUGUCUGGUGGCCUAGCCCGCUCCUCCUCACCCCUCCAGGACAGGCACUGGCGGGGAGCCCCCCCAGGGCCCGGAUGAACCACCAGCCGGCUCAACAGGAGCAGCCGUGGCGGCCACCGUCUGAAUGUCGACUCUGCCCUGUCCUUCACUGGGCUCGUCCCACGCAUGGUCUGGUCGUACCCCCACAGCUCCCCGGGCAGUCAGCUACGAGUGUUCCCACUUCACAGCUGUGUACACGGAGGCCCAGAGGGCAGGUCACCCUGCUAGUCAGCGGCCCAGCUAGGAUUUGACCCCAGUGUUCUCGGCUCUGAGCCCAUAGCACGUGCUCUCCCCACAGCCCUGCCUUCUCCACUAGCACUGGAGGUCUCUGCUUAACUAGGUAAUUGGCUGAUGAGUGAUUUAGAGUGCAAGGGGGUGAGGGAUUGUGUCUGUCUUGCUUAUCUUUAUCUCCCACCUCGGGGUAGCCAAUGAAUAUCUGUGGAGCGAAUAAAUGAAUAAUUCUGUGCUUGUAUGUGUAGGGUGCUGCCAACGGGAGGCCAGAUGGGGCGGAACUUUGCCCUCCAGAAUUCUCAUCUAAAGGUCUGCCUCCCAGGAGCUUCUCAGUGCUAGGCCUCCUGGGCAACACGAGGGGACUCUGCUGUCUGCUAUACCGAUGACCAUCAGCCCUCAGCAAGGAGAGCCAUGUGGCCAGGGGGCUUUCAGGAAAGACCCAGAAAGAAGAGUCCUAGGAUGCUAGGGAUCAAGGUACAUCAGAGGACCCUGGUGCCUGAAAGAAAUGCCCUACAUCUGGCUGCCGACUGACUUCUGGAUGGACAAUUCUGUGUUUCUCUUCAUCCAAAUGUUUGUUAAUUACAAAAAGGCCAUCUGUGCUUCUAAACCAAAUAGGGAUUACAGCAUGAUAAGUCUACACAGCUUGGCUGAGAGAGGAAUAUGAUAAUUUUUCUUAUCAGAACUUGUGAUACUGCUACUAUUACUAACAACGACAAUGUCAUUGGUGGUAGAUCGUUCGUAAAAAUGGCCACAAUUAGUUCCCUCUGUAAAUCCAUGCCCUUUGCAAUGUGACCUUGCAGUUCUCCCAUCAAGAGAUGGAGUCUAUUUCCCCGUUCCCUGAAUCUGCACAGGCCUCUUGGCUUGCGUUGGCCAACAGGAUGCAGCAAGAUGAUGUGUGAACAAGCCUAGACCAGCCUGCUGGAAGAGGUGGGACCACACAGAGCCGAGAUGAACCAUCCCGGCUGAGGCCAUCCCAGACCGGCCUACGCUGCUGCUGAGAUCAGCAGAGCUGUCCACACGAGCCAUCACAGACACAGAUGCGAGAGGGAGUCCCAGUGAAAGCAGAAGAGCCACCCCGCUGAGCCCAGCCUCCAUGGCCAACCCACAGAAUUGUGAGCUAAAUACACAGUUUGGUUUUGAGCUGCUGAGUUUGGGAGUACGGUAGUCCCUGCCUAUUCUCGGGGGUUAUGUUCCAAGACCCCGAGGGGCUGCCCAAAGCUGUGGAUCAUACCAAACCCUAUGUAUACUAUGUUUUUUCCUAGACAUGCAUAUCCAUGAUAAAGUUUAAUUUAUAAAUUAAGCACAGUAAGAGUUUAACAACAUUAAUAACUGAUAAUAAAAUAGAACAAUUAUUACAAUAUACUGCAGUAAAAGUUAUGUGAACGUGGUCGCUCUCUAAAUAUCUUAUUGUACUGUACUCCCCCUUCUUGUGCUGAUGUGAGAUGAUAAAAUGCCUACAUGAUGAGAUGAGUGAGGGGAACGACACAGCGUGUGCCAAGCACGAGGCUACUCUCUACCUUCUGACGAUAUGUCAGAAGGAGGGUCAGCUGCUAUGGGACUGACGUUGACUGCAGGCAACUGAGAGCAGAUAAGGGGGCUACUGUAGUUACAUAGCAAAAGCCAAUGAAUAAAAAGUGUGUUUUUUUUCUUUUUUGUAAGGGGGACAAUGAUAGGAUCUAAAGAACACAAUUAACACUUUUUUUUUUUGGUCAUAUAAACAUCAUUGCUAAAUCAAAGAGAAACAAGUUGCUUACUAUACGACCACCCCCAAAAUGCACCAGCAGGAUUCAAAAAUAUCAGUCACAUCGCUCACUCUGUCUAGUACCUGUGUGUCACCCCACAGACCUCACUCCCUCCAGUGGAGGCCGCACCACUCACCAGAAUCUUGGUGGUGUAGGCGCUGUUGAUGGCAAUGGCAUUGACGAGCAGCUCCAUGGUCUUGGCGUUGAUGGAGUUCGGG